rnacentral:rRNA from 1 species
GACGAACGCUGGCGGCGUGCUUAACACAUGCAAGUCGAACGGAAAGGCCCCUUUGGGGGUACUCGAGUGGCGAACGGGUGAGUAACACGUGAGUAACCUGCCCUUGACUUCGGGAUAACUUCAGGAAACUGGGGCUAAUACCGGAUAGGAAUCCUUGCUGCAUGGUGGGGGUUGGAAAGCUUCGGCGGUUUUGGAUGGUCUCGCGGCUUAUCAGCUUGUUGGUGGGGUAGUGGCUUACCAAGGCUUUGACGGGUAGCCGGCCUGAGAGGGCGACCGGCCACAUUGGGACUGAGAUACGGCCCAGACUCCUACGGGAGGCAGCAGUGGGGAAUAUUGCACAAUGGGCGGAAGCCUGAUGCAGCAACGCCGCGUGCGGGAUGACGGCCUUCGGGUUGUAAACCGCUUUCAGCAGGGGCGAAGCUUUUGUGACGGUACCUGCAGAAGAAGCACCGGCUAACUACGUG